rnacentral:rRNA from 1 species
GGCGGCGUGCUUAACACAUGCAAGUCGAACGAACCUUCGGGUUAGUGGCGGACGGGUGAGUAACGCGCGAGAAUCUGCCCUCAGGAGGGGGAUAACAGCUGGAAACGGCUGCUAAUACCCCAUAUGCCGCGAGGUGAAAUGAAUUUCGCCUGAGGAUGAGCUCGCGUCUGAUUAGCUAGUUGGUGUAGGUAAUGGCUCACCAAGGCAUCGAUCAGUAGCUGGUCUGAGAGGAUGAUCAGCCACACUGGGACUGAGACACGGCCCAGACUCCUACGGGAGGCAGCAGUGGGGAAUUUUCCGCAAUGGGCGAAAGCCUGACGGAGCAACGCCGCGUGAGGGAUGAAGGCCUCUGGGCUGUAAACCUCUUUUAUCAAGGAAGAAGAUCUGACGGUACUUGAUGAAUAAGCCACGGCUAAUUCCGUGCCAGCAGCCGCGGUAAUACGGGAGUGGCAAGCGUUAUCCGGAAUUAUUGGGCGUAAAGCGUCCGCAGGCGGCCCUUCAAGUCUGCUGUUAAAAAGUGGAGCUUAACUCCAUCAUGGCAGUGGAAACUGUUGGGCUUGAGUGUGGUAGGGGCAGAGGGAAUUCCCGGUGUAGCGGUGAAAUGCGUAGAUAUCGGGAAGAACACCAGUGGCGAAGGCGCUCUGCUGGGCCAUCACUGACGCUCAUGGACGAAAGCCAGGGGAGCGAAAGGGAUUAGAUACCCCUGUAGUCCUGGCCGUAAACGAUGAACACUAGGUGUCGGGGGAAUCGACCCCCUCGGUGUCGUAGCCAACGCGUUAAGUGUUCCGCCUGGGGAGUACGCACGCAAGAUUAAAACUCAAAUGAAUUGACGGGGGCCCGCACAAGCGGUGGAGCAUGUGGUUUAAUUCGAUGCAACGCGAAGAACCUUACCUACUCUUGACAUCCAGAGAACUUUCCAGAGAUGGAUUGGUGCCUUCGGGAACUCUGAGACAGGUGCUGCAUGGCUGUCGUCAGCUCGUGUUGUGAAAUGUUGGGUUAAGUCCCGCAACGAGCGCAACCCUUAUCCUUGUUUGCCAGCGAGUAAUGUCGGGAACUCCAGGGAGACUGCCGGUGAUAAACCGGAGGAAGGUGGGGACGACGUCAAGUCAUCAUGGCCCUUACGAGUAGGGCUACACACGUGCUACAAUGGCGCAUACAGAGGGCGGCCAACUUGCGAGAGUGAGCGAAUCCCAAAAAGUGCGUCGUAGUCCGGAUCGGAGUCUGCAACUCGACUCCGUGAAGUCGGAAUCGCUAGUAAUCGCUGGUCAGCUACACAGCGGUGAAUUCGUUCCCGGGCCUUGUACACACCGCCCGUCACACCAUGGGAGUUGGUUGUACCCGAAGUCGUUAUCCUAACUUUUAGAGGGAGGCGCCUAAGGUAAAAUUGGUAAGCGAGGUGAAGUCGUAACAAGG